AGCGAACGCUGGCGGCAGGCCUAACACAUGCAAGUCGAACGAACCCUUCGGGGUUAGUGGCGGACGGGUGAGUAACACGUGGGAACGUGCCUUUAGGUUCGGAAUAACUCAGGGAAACUUGUGCUAAUACCGAAUGUGCCCUUCGGGGGAAAGAUUUAUCGCCUUUAGAGCGGCCCGCGUCUGAUUAGCUAGUUGGUGAGGUAAUGGCUCACCAAGGCUACGAUCAGUAGCUGGUCUGAGAGGAUGACCAGCCACAUUGGGGCUGAGACACGGCCCAAACUCCUACGGGAGGCAGCAGUGGGGAAUCUUGCGCAAUGGGCGAAAGCCUGACGCAGCCAUGCCGCGUGGAUGAUGAAGAUCUUAGGAUUGUAAAAUCCUUUCACCGGUGAAGAUAAUGACUGUAGCCGGAGAAGAAGCCCCGGCUAACUUCGUGCCAGCCGCCGCGGUAAAAC
rnacentral:rRNA from 1 species